UACGUAGGGGGCAAGCGUUGUCCGGAUUUAUUGGGCGUAAAGAGCGUGUAGGCGGUUAGGUAGGUCCGUUGUGAAAACUCGAGGCUCAACCUCGAGACGCCGAUGGAAACCAUCUGACUAGAGUCCGGAAGAGGAGAAUGGAAUUCCCGGUGUAGCGGUGAAAUGCGCAGAUAAUCGGGAAGAACACCCGUGGCGAAGGCGGUUCUCUGGGACGGUACUGACGGCUGAGACGCGAAAGCGUGGGGAGCGAACAGG
rnacentral:rRNA from 1 species